rnacentral:rRNA from 1 species
UACGUAGGGGGCAAGCGUUUGUCCGGAUUUAUUGGGCGUAAAGAGCGUGUAGGCGGCCAGGUAGGUCGGUUGUGAAAACUAGAGGCUCAACCUCUAGACGUCGACCGAAACCACUUGGCUAGAGUCCGGAAGAGGAGAGUGGAAUUCCUGGUGUAGCGGUGAAAUGCGCAGAUAUCAGGAAGAACACCCGUGGCGAAGGCGGCUCUCUGGGACGGUACUGACGCUGAGACGCGAAAAGCGUGGGGAGCGAACAGG